rnacentral:snoRNA from 15 species
UUUCUCCUCUUUCUGCCUAUCUGUUGUUCAUAAUCAACUGCGUAGUUCUGGUGAAGGAGUAAAUUAAACUGCCUCGCACCGCCGUACUCAUUUUUACCUCGAGUAUGGUGGCCGUGGAAUGGUGGUUUUUUAUGCAGUCGGGAAUGAAAGCAGCUGUAAUUUCCUUGCAUAAUGAGCCUAAAUACCU